rnacentral:tRNA from 1 species
GGCCGGUUAGCUCAGUCAGUAGAUCGUAGCGCUAACAACGCUAAGGUCGCAGGUUCAAUUCCUGUUCAGUCCC